rnacentral:misc_RNA from 1 species
UAAAAUCGAAGCCCAAUCAAUUUCCGAUGGAUAUUUCUGCAACAAACAGCUUUCUGUAGAUUGUUCCCAGGGCGAUUCCGUCAGAUCCGGGAACGUCAGAUCCGAUAAAGGCGAAGACCCUGCCGACUCAUCACUCUCGGCCGAAACCGGCGACGAGGAGUUCUCCGCCUUGCAACAGAUCUCCGAUCCGCUUGAUCUGACAUCCGCCGUCUUCAGAUCGUCGUCGGAAUCAGUCACCGUCGGCGUCUGAGACUCCGAUCCGACGGUAGAAGAGCCCGAUGAUUUCGAUUUCCUUCGAUCCGAUUUCCCCUGUUUCUGCGACUCUGCCAAGGUUUGGCAGAUGGCUUCGAGCUUGGCGUCGACGGCUGAGUGUAAUGGCUUGUACUCGCCGAAAUCGCCGCCUACGGAGGAGCCGUGGUGCUUGAGGUGAGGGAAAUUGAGUCUGGCGAAGUCGCCUCGGAGCUUGUAAGCGGCUUUGUCAUAGGCUAAAGCGGCUUCUUCUGCGGUGUCGAAGGUGCCGAGCCAUAGCCGAGUUCUGUUCCUCGGUAGACGGAUCUCCGCCACCCAUUUUCCCCAAUGCCUUUGCCUCACGCCUCGAUAAAGCUUCGUGGAUUUCGGUGGAGAUCCGACGUGUUUCAUCGGAAUCCCCUUCGGUCCAAGCAAAUUUCCAGCGCUGUUGCUCUGAUUUCUCGCUACUUGGUUGUUGAUCUGUCCCCAAACUGGUUGGAUUUGUGUCUGGAGACCGAAUUGAGAUUGGAUCUGUUGGAUCUGAAAAGGGGUCAAGUAAUUGAGUCCAAUAGAAGCUGAUUGCUCUACGCCAUGGAAAUCUUGACCCGAAAACCCACCGGAAAAUAAAUGGGUCAUCGGAGGAGAGCAAUCAGAAGGGUAAGAAGUGGACUCUGUUUGGACGGAAGAAGAGAAAGAGAAAUCCGGAAAGGAAGAAGAAGAAGAAGAAG